CUCUGCUAAUUUCUGGUUUGAAGAUCAAUCUCAUUGCAAUGGGAAAGCAUAUCUUGCUGCUCCUACUGGGCCUGACUUUGCUGGUGAGCUCCCUGCAAGAUGGAAAAUUUGUAUAUGGAAACCAGAGCUGUGCUGAGUGCAACGCUACGACUGUUGAGCAUGGAAGUCUUAUAGUAUCAACAAACUGUUGCUCAGCCACCCCUUUCUGCAAUAUGGUACAUCGCUGAUACUUAAUUGUAUGGAAGGAUUUUAGUGCUCUUUAUUGAGUCUUGACACUGGAGCAUGCCAGAAAGAAUAAUCUACUGACCAUGUCUGGACAACUCACUAUGAUUUCUACAUCGUGUUUUCUGACUACAUGUAUAUCAUAUGUUCUUGGGUGAUCUGUAAUAAAUUGAAAGCCUUACAUAUUUUAA
rnacentral:lncRNA from 1 species